UCGUACAAAACGUGCUUUCAGAGUAAGGGUGGGCUGGCACAGAGGCCACCUCUGCUUGCUCGGGGUUGUGGUGGCUGCUGGCUCUACAGUCUGUUUGUGGAUGCAGCUGUCGGUAUGCUGGGAAUGCUGUGUACCAGGAGGUAUGCAAAAGAGAUGAGUCAACGCCACUCCGAUCAUGAUCCUACAAGCAGCUUGGGGAUUUGGUCUUGAUGAUACUGUGCAGAGAAGUCAUGUUCAGAGAGAAGAAUGGUGGAACUCUAUGAAAAGCAACUCUUUCCUUGCUUCAGCCUCAAAUGGUGCAAAAAGCCCAGAGUCUGGGGUGCUUCUGCAAUUUGCAAGGCACCAAAACCUAACGGGCCAGGUUCCUGGGUUUAUGCCUCACAUGUCUGAAGAGCUGUGACCAGCAGGGAACCACAAAGUGGAACAGUUCUGCCCCAGUUCUUCCCUCUCCCAGAGACAGUGAUGCAGCUGCCUAUGGCUGAACGUUCCCGUGUGUGGCUUGGGGAAUCAAGCAGAGCAGUACAUGAAUUUCAAUAAGCAUGCCCCCCUCUCCAUCCACAGUCCCACAUGCCUCUCUCAAUUUUGUUUCUGGAUGGAACAAUUAAUGUGCACGGGUUGUGUGAAGCCAUGGGCAGCUAGAAUAUGGGUGUAAUUUAGCACUGCAGACACAGUAUUUGUCGACAAGCAUGUCAGGCACAGAGUCAAAUUCAGUUCCUUUGUUAUAAAGUUCCAGCACUAGUCUAUACAGGUAGAAUAUAUGCACUAAAAUGCAUUUAACGUUACUGUGGGCUGCUCUUUAUAAAUGCUCUGAACAGGUCUAGAUCUAUAAAGUAUGCCUCACGGUGUAGCUAGGAAUAAUCAGGCGUGCCUUGGAUUAAGAGAGGAGGGAGGAUUGUCUUCUAGGAAAAAUCAAUGAAAUAUUUAAGCAGAGAAAAGUAAUUUUGUCUCUUUGAUUUCAUCUGGUAGCAACUGAAAAUACAUUUUAGGAGCCUUUAAAGUACAUCUAAUUUCUCAUUCACUGCCAAAAAAGAAAUUUCUCUGGUUAUUCAUAAAUACAAGAGCAGUAUGAAGUGGUUACUCAUUUAUUUGAUAUAAUAUUGCACAACAGUGGUCUAAAGUAAGAGGUUUAGAGGAGCUGGAAAUACAAAGCAUCAAAGCAUAGCAAUGGUAAUAUUAAUUUGCAGAGGGCAGACAUACAUGGCUGUAACAGCACUGGACAGGAGGAAGCAUGGGUUGGAUAACAAAAUCGGGAGCUCACAAGCUGGGGGUGGGGGACCUCAACAAAACAAAGAAAUCAAAAGCUGCUGAAAUUUAUCAAAACAUCAAACUAUGGCCAAGAAAAGGGUGGGGACAUUAGCAAAGUCAUGGCUGGAGAGGGAGAAAUGCCCUAUGAAACAAUACUUGGAAAGUUAAUGUUAGAGUGAGAAGGGCUUUCUAAUUAAAAAAAUAAAUAAAUUAUAAUCACUAGAAGACUCCAACCUCCAGCCUGAAAACCCAGAAAUACUUCUCUGUAUAGAA